AUUCGCCGCCCUCUCAUUGGCCGUGGUUUUGGGGUCAAAUCACUCCUCCCGUUGCCAUUGGUUGGAAGGGUCGCGCGGGAGAUUCGAGAGAAUCUCGGGGCGGGGGCGCGCGCGCUUUCCCGGGCCCUAAAACUGCCGGGACGGACUUCGCCUGGAGAUCCGGGCACCCGUGUGAGUCAGAGAUGCCGGGGCAUUUAAUCGUGUCUCAGAACUGCCGGACUGCAAAGGGCCCUGACCCAGAAAACCGCUGCCUUUUGCGGGGCGGAAAUCAGCGACCCGUGUCCCCUUUCACGCCCGUUCUUGGCAGCAAAAGCCCAAACUAUCUUAAGAUUCCCGGUAAAUGAGGACGGGAGGAAAAAAGAACGAAAAAUGAGUGUUUUUUGUUUUCUCUCCAAAAAUACAGUAUAAUUCUACAAGUAGCCUCGGCCUGGGUCUGGGGAAACUUCCGUUUCCGAUUGGGGAAUUUUCCGUGGAUUGCAGCGCGGCCAUCAGUUAGGAAAUAGCUUUCUGAGACACUAAUGAAUUAGAAUGAAGUCCGAAGUUAGAAACCUCACUUUGCAGCCUCACUUUCUGCGUGGGCCCGGAACAAGAAUGGCGAAAGAUUUCACAAUAGAACUUCUGGAAAUGCCAGUAAACUGUGCCGAGGGAUUUUGUAAUUAUUUUACAAUCAACUUUAUGUGGCACAGUGACCUUGAGAUAGCAUCGAAUCCGGUACAGUCAUAAAAUCAAAUAUCUUGGAAAUCUAGAGUGACUAUAUUGGAGUUCUACUUUUUCUUCUUAGAAUAAUAGAUUGAGAAUUGGAAAGGAAUGACUUCUUUUCUUCCAUUCCACGCCUUUACUAGUACUCCUAUGUUUCUCUGAAAUAAAUCAGUAGGUGCAGUUUGGAAAUUGAAUAUCUAUUAGUAUUUGUCAGACUAACAGUGCUACUUCCUGAACUGUACACUUCAAUCUCCAUUCAUAAUAAAACAAACAAAAA